AACGAACGCUGGCGGCAGGCCUAACACAUGCAAGUCGAGCGAGGACUUCGGUCCUAGCGGCGGACGGGUGAGUAACGCGUGGGAACGUGCCCUUUGCUUCGGAAUAGCCCUGGGAAACUGGGAGUAAUACCGGAUGAGCCCUUUGGGGGAAAGAUUUAUCGGCGAAGGAUCGGCCCGCGUUGGAUUAGGUAGUUGGUGGGGUAAUGGCCUACCAAGCCGACGAUCCAUAGCUGGUUUGAGAGGAUGAUCAGCCUCACUGGGACUGAGACACGGCCCAGACUCCUACGGGAGGGAGCAGGGGGGAAUCUUAGACAAGGGGGGAAACCCUGAUCUAGCCAUGCCGGGUGGGGGAUGAAGGCCUUGGGGUUGUAAAGCUCUUUCAGCUGGGAAGAUAAUGACGGUACCAGCAGAAGAAGCCCCGGCUAACCCCGU
rnacentral:rRNA from 1 species